rnacentral:rRNA from 1 species
GACGAACGCUGGCGGCGUGCCUAAUACAUGCAAGUCGAACGCUGAAGGAGGAGCUUGCUUCUCUGGAUGAGUUGCGAACGGGUGAGUAACGCGUAGGUAACCUGCCUGGUAGCGGGGGAUAACUAUUGGAAACGAUAGCUAAUACCGCAUAAUAGUAGAUGUUGCAUGACAUUUGCUUAAAAGGUGCAAUUGCAUCACUACCAGAUGGACCUGCGUUGUAUUAGCUAGUUGGUGGGGUAACGGCUCACCAAGGCGACGAUACAUAGCCGACCUGAGAGGGUGAUCGGCCACACUGGGACUGAGACACGGCCCAGACUCCUACGGGAGGCAGCAGUAGGGAAUCUUCGGCAAUGGACGGAAGUCUGACCGAGCAACGCCGCGUGAGUGAAGAAGGGUGUCGGAUCGUAAAGCUCUGUUGUAAGAGAAGAACGAGUGUGAGAGUGGAAAGUUCACACUGUGACGGUAGCUUACCAGAAAGGGACGGCUAACUACGCG